rnacentral:lncRNA from 7 species
AAAUUAUAUAUUUUAUUUUAUGUUUUUCAAACAUGCAGCAAAUAGAAUAAAGAGUAUAUGCCCAUCUAAAAGGAGGUCUUUAUGAGAAUCCUUUGACAAACACACAGCAGGUAGUCUAGGAUGUAGAAAAGUCAUCAAAUACUUGCAGGUGAAAUCAAAUUCACAAACACAAACUGUUCAACAAUAAACUUUUUUUUUCCUCCUUGUUUUAAUUGCCAGUUUGAACAUGAUCAGAAAUAAACAGCUUGGAUGACACUUCCCUGCAUGGAGCAAGACGCUUGUUGCUGCUUUUGCUGUUUCAGGCUCCACAGGUACCUGAGACGGCAAAAGCAGAGGAGCUGCAGCACGUUGGGUUUGUACGGGUCCCCAUGUCUCCAUGAGCCCACAGCCCUCUGCUCCAUCUGCAGCUGUGCUUUGGGAUGGCCUGUGGGAUGCAGCAGUGCAGGACAAGCAGCUGCAGCCCUUCGCCUUGCCUUACGUUAAAUUUCCAGGUGACAGAACCAUAGAACUACAGCACCGUUGGGUUGGAAGGGACUUUACAGCCCCAGCUGUGGGCUAGUUGCCCCCCACCAGCUCAGGCUGCACAGGUGCCCGGGGCACCCACAGCUCUCUGGGCAGAAGUGC